rnacentral:rRNA from 1 species
UACAGAGGGGGCAAGCGUUAUUCGGAAUUAUUGGGCGUAAAGGGCGCGUAGGCGGCUUGGUAAGUGGAUGGUGAAAUCCCUCGGCUUAACCGAGGAACUGCCGUCCAAAACUGCUUCGCUUGAGACCGGGAGAGGUGAGUGGAAUUCCCAGUGUAGCGGUGAAAUGCGUAGAUAUUGGGAGGAACACCAGUGGCGAAGGCGGCUCACUGGACCGGUACUGACGCUGAUGCGCGAAAGCGUCGGGGAGCAAACGGG